UUGAACGCUGGCGGCAUGCCUUACACAUGCAAGUCGAACGGUAGAGGGGCAACCCUUGAGAGUGGCGAACGGGUGAGUAAUAUAUCGGAACGUGCCCAGUCGUGGGGGAUAACGCAGCGAAAGCUGCGCUAAUACCGCAUACGAUCUAUGGAUGAAAGCGGGGGAUCGCAAAGACCUCGCGCGAUUGGAGCGGCCGAUAUCAGAUUAGGUAGUUGGUGGGGUAAAAGCC
rnacentral:rRNA from 1 species